UAACACAAAACAAUAUUAUUUUAAUAUUUUAAUGUAGUUGUGGAAUUAUAAAGAGUUCAGUCAUCUUUUACAAUCUACUGACAAAUCUCAAAAGACAAAUCUUCACUUAGUGAAGUCCUUGGGACCACUGUGGUCUGCUGCGCGGGAACUGACACUACUUUUCACAGGUGCUGUCUAAGCCUUGAUCCUCUGUCGGAGAGAAGAAAAUAAUGAAGACAUAAAGAUGUUAUCAUUAUCUUAGAUAACAAAAUAUAUGCAUUGAGUUUCAGCAGUUGACUAGUUAAUGGUGUAUCAUUGGUAAACACCAAACUGAAUAAUCUUAAUGACAACCACCACUGGGUUACAGAUCACUGAAGCCUGAGCCAGGAUCCAUCCUAUUCCAAUUGUCCAUUCUGGAUAUUCCUAGACCCAAUUAUAAAUCAGCUGCUUGUAUUGGACCAGGAUGAAAAAGAAACAACCCUUUGGAUAAAAAGAAAACAUUUAAAAAGGAAGUAAUUCACAUGUAACUUGGAUAGUCACUGUACCAUCAUAAGUAUAUCAUCACUCUUGUGUCCUGUUAGAAAAAAAGAGUAAAAUAAUUGUCAAAACAUCAACAUCAAGUUUCAUGUAGAAGAGAAAAUGAAAAGAAAGAAAAUGAAAAGAGUGAAGACAAACCACAGAUGUAAUGAAAAUGUCUUUGAACAUCCGUGGCAUCCUACAAUAUUUUCUGCUCUGUACCAUAGUUGAAGAUCAAUCUAGCGAGGAAGAGAAUGACCUGUUUAAUUCCGGCAUCCCUCGGUUUAUUUUAUGUUAUUUCAUUUUAUUUAUUUAUUUAUUUUGCGGCGUUGUUCGGUGACUUCAGACCGGAAGUCCGGGUACAUGCUGAUUCAGACACCGUUGAAGUUCACGGGAGCCUGCAGACAAGCGAGUUUCAAGAUGGUUUUCCUUCCGGAGUACGGUGAAUGGCGAUCAUGGUCUGUGGACGUCUAGAUGAGGACGAUGGACCGAUGCGGUGCACCCGAUCAACUUUGAAGCUAUUGGACCAGAAAGCUCCAGGAGAAACUCUAUGACAAACUGCGUUGGAUUCCUUCUCUCAACCUUUUCUGCCCCACGGACCAUGGUCCUCUGUGUCCCAGCUACAUGACUGCCCCCUGCUCCUGUAAACUACGCCACCGCACAGACGCUGGAGCGGCACCGAGUUCACCUGGAUGACUGUGGACACAGAGGCUGCUCUACACUGACAGAGGUCUGGAGGAAGAAUGCCGUUAGGACACCUCCUCGUCCUGAGUGAAUCUGAUGGACGUGUAGUCCACGAGCAUCCUCUCACCUGCACCACCUUCCCCUGUGGACUCUCUGAGAAGACCAGGACCUGGUUGUAGAGAGGAUCCAGGCUCUUCCUCACUGACUUCGUCUUCUUCUUGGCAACACAGAUGCCGUUUUCCAGGAGGUAAACUUUGAUGUAGGCUGCUGUAAACACAAUGAGGAGAAAGGAGGAGGAGCUGAUGAGAAAACAAGAUCCCAGUGAAGGAGAGAAGAUGGGAGGAGACACUGGUGCCAGAGGUGAUGCUGUGCAAGUCUCGUUUCCAGACUAAGUCAACGCUUCUCAUUUCUGUUGCCUGCCGUUGUCAUUUCCUCGUGCUGU